ACUCCCCCAUACAUUUGCCUAUCUUCUUCUUCUUCUUCUUCUUACAAAGCUUCCUUCUCUCUCUCUCUCUCUUUUUACUUUUGUUUUGUCCAAAAAAGGGAAACAAAUGUCAGAAAAAUCAAGCCGCCAUCAAAGGAGGCCAUCGCAAGGCGUGUUCAUCAACUUUGAUGAUCUCUCAUCGCCCAUCUCCGAUAAUGUUGCUGG
rnacentral:lncRNA from 1 species